rnacentral:rRNA from 1 species
GAUGAACGCUGGCGGCGUGCUUAACACAUGCAAGUCGAACGGAAAGGCCGAAGCUUGCUUCGGUACUCGAGUGGCGAACGGGUGAGUAACACGUGGGUGAUCUGCCCUGUACUUCGGGAUAAGCUUGGGAAACUGGGUCUAAUACCGGAUAUGACAAUCUCUUGGAUGGGGUUGUGGAAAGCUUUUGCGGUAUGGGAUGAGCUCGCGGCCUAUCAGCUUGUUGGUGGGGUAAUGGCCUACCAAGGCGUCGACGGGUAGCCGGCCUGAGAGGGUGUACGGCCACAUUGGGACUGAGAUACGGCCCAGACUCCUACGGGAGGCAGCAGUGGGGAAUAUUGCACAAUGGGCGCAAGCCUGAUGCAGCGACGCCGCGUGGGGGAUGACGGCCUUCGGGUUGUAAACUCCUUUCGCAACCGACGAAGCUUUUGUGACGGUAGGUUGAGAAGAAGCACCGGCUAACUACGUGCCAGCAGCCGCGGUAAUACGUAGGGUGCGAGCGUUGUCCGGAAUUACUGGGCGUAAAGAGCUCGUAGGUGGUUUGUCGCGUCGUUUGUGGAAUACCGCAGCUUAACUGCGGGGUUGCAGGCGAUACGGGCAUAACUUGAGUGCUGUAGGGGAGACUGGAAUUCCUGGUGUAGCGGUGGAAUGCGCAGAUAUCAGGAGGAACACCGAUGGCGAAGGCAGGUCUCUGGGCAGUAACUGACGCUGAGGAGCGAAAGCAUGGGGAGCGAACAGG